rnacentral:rRNA from 1 species
AUUGAACGCUGGCGGCAUGCUUUACACAUGCAAGUCGAACGGUAACAGGCCGCAAGGUGCUGACGAGUGGCGAACGGGUGAGUAAUGCAUCGGAACGUGCCCAGUCGUGGGGGAUAACGCAGCGAAAGCUGCGCUAAUACCGCAUACGAUCUCUGGAUGAAAGCGGGGGACCGAAAGGCCUCGCGCGAUUGGAGCGGCCGAUGUCAGAUUAGGUAGUUGGUGGGGUAAAGGCCCACCAAGCCAACGAUCUGUAGCUGGUCUGAGAGGACGACCAGCCACACUGGGACUGAGACACGGCCCAGACGCCUACGGGAGGCAGCAGUGGGGAAUGUUGGACAAUGGGCGCAAGCCUGAUCCAGCAAUGCCGCGUGCAGGAAGAAGGCCGUCGGGUUGUAAACUGCUUUUGUACGGAACGAAACGGACCGGGUUAAUACCCUGGGCUAAUGACGGUACCGUAAGAAUAAGCACCGGCUAACUACGUGCCAGCCGCCGCCGUAAUAC